GAAUAGUUUCUCCCAGCUCCACUGAAUAACGGUGACAAUCUUUCGGUUCUAAUUUCUGCAGCAAACCCUUUUGAAGUUCUGGGGAAAUUCUUCUUCGUUCUUGUUUCCCCCCUGUAUACAAAGAACUCCCAGAAACCUCCCUACAGAAGUCGAAUCCCAGCUCCGAGUUGAAAUCAUGACCUUGUAGCGCUGAGACCUUGGAGAUCCUGGCCUUCUUCCCCCACAACCCACUCCAGAACACUGGAAGGGGAACACUCAGCACAUUUCGGUUUGGUUUGUUGUUAGGGUGAGGAGAGGUGAUAUGGGAAGGGGAUCAGGAAGAAAUUAAGGCUAGAAGAUGAAAGAACCGGAUCCAAAAGGGAAAACAAAGUAGCUGAGUUCCCAAGGGAAUCAAAGUUUACUCCCGAGCCUCCAGAAUUUCUUUCCCUGUUAAUGAGUUGAGAUCAUUCUUAGCCCGAUUCUCCAUCUCGUUCUUUCCCAGAAUCUGACUUCAGGACCAAGAAUUCUUCGGGAUCGGUUGGCUGAGCACUAAACAGAUUUCCAGGCCCAGAUCCCACCACCUCCAAGUUAUCCUAAGGGACUUACCUCCUCCCAGCUUCGAAAAAGAGGGAAAUGGAACUCAAAAGGACAGCGUUAUGGAAUCAAGUCUAUUUCAUCAGGCUCCAAAACUCUUAUGAAGAAAGAAGGUUGAAGCCUGAACGAAGAGGGUCCUGGAGUCAUUGUAACUGCCAAGACACAGAAGUAGUCAAUUUUUCCCUUGGGAUUUGCCAAGGUAGAAAGAAACAGAGAAGGCUGGAGACAGGUCCAAAAGGUUUCUAUCAUAAAAUGGUAUGAAGUGGGGGAAGAGGGAGGGGAAAGCACCUCCCACACCCUCUCCAUCAUGAGCCACCAAUUCUCUCUGUAUCUACUUGCUCCAGAGCCCAGGACUCAACAUAGAAACAGGAAUUUUUUACCAGCCUCCAGCCAGUUUCUCAUGACAGCUUUCAUGACAGAUUCUCAAUGCAUUUCUAUGAAGGGGGCGGGAGCUUGUUUUACAAAUGUGGAUUUGCAUCCCACACUUUUGGAAGGGGUCAAAAGAAGUUCCUGUUGAAAAGAUGCCUACAGUGAAGGGUUUGCACCCUCAUACAGGAUGGAGUCAUAGAUCUUGGAUCCUUUCUAUUGCCACUGUACCCUCCAUUCUUACACUCCCUUUCUUCAAGCUGGAAAUAGAAUUAUUUUCAUCUAAAACCUCUUUGGAAAUUCUCUCUGUGUUUGUCCUGAUAUCGUUAUGCUAUUUUCUGAAG